rnacentral:rRNA from 1 species
UUCCGGUUGAUCCUGCCGGAAGCUACCGCUAUUGGAGUUCGAUUAAGCCAUGCGAGUCGAGAGUCUUAGGGACUCGGCGUACCGCUCAGAACACGUGGGUAACCUGCCCUGUGCUGGGGAAUAACCUCGGGAAACUGAGAAUAAUGCCCCAUAGUUCACCACGCCUGGAACGGUGGGUGGAUCAAAGCUCCGGCGGCACAGGAUGGGCCUGCGGCGUAUCAGGUCGUAGGGGGUGUAACGUACCCUCUAGCCUUCAACGCGUACGGGUUGUGGGAGCAAUCGCCCGGAGAUGGAUUCUGAGACACGAAUCCAGACCCUACGGGGGUGCAGCAGGCGCGAAAAACUUCACACUGCAGGAAACUGUGAUGAGGGAAUUCCAAGUGGCUAGACAAAGUCUAGUCUUUUUUGUAACUUUUAAUCGGUUGCAGAAUAAGGGGUGGGAAAAGACCGGUGCCAGCCGCCGCGGUAAUACCGGCACCUCAAGUGGUCGUCGCUUUUAUUGGGCCUAAAACGUCCGUCGCCUGUUUGGUACAUUCGUGGGUGAAUCAAGCCGCUCAACGGCUUGAAUUCUGCGAGGACGGCCAGACUAGGGACCGGGAGAGGUAUGGGGUACUCUCAGGGUAGGGGUAAAAUCCAGUCAUCCUGAGGGGACCACCUGUU